GGCUCAGGAUGAACGCUAGCGGCAGGCUUAAUACAUGCAAGUCGUGGGGCAGCAUGAGUAGCAAUACUUGACGGCGACCGGCAAACGGGUGAGGAACACGUACACAACCUUCCUUCAAGCGGGGAAUAGCCCAGAGAAAUUUGGAUUAAUACCCCAUAAUAUAUCUGAUAAGGCAUCUUAUUAAUAUUAAAGCUUCGGCACUUGAUGAUGGGUGUGCGGGCUGAUUAGAUAGUUGGCGGGGUAACGGCCCACCAAGUCUACGAUCAGUAGCUGACGCGAGAGCAUGAUCAGCCACACGGGCACUGAGACACGGGCCCGACUCCUUACGGGAGGCAGCAGUAAGGAUAUUGGACAAUGGACGAAAGUCUGAUCCAGCCAUGCCGCGUGAAGGAUUAAGGUCCUCUGGAUUGUAAACUUCUUUUAUAUGGGACGAAAAAAGGGCAUUCUUGUUCACUUGACGGUACCAUAUGAAUAAGCACCGGCUAACUCCGUG
rnacentral:rRNA from 1 species